UGAAAAUCUCCAUCAGGUUACGUAAUUUUAGACCAAUCAGUUUGCACUUGAUAGGGUAAAACAGUGUGCAAUGUACAUAAUAGAUUCAAAGAUUAAAACACUAUGAUGUAGUCAACUGAGAAGAAAAACAUAAAAAUGUACCAUCCAGUAGCCUUCGUAGAGCAACAUAUAAGCCAGUGUGUUUAUUUUUUUAAGGCAAUUUGUCUUUCAAAUGUAUAAGGGACAGAUCUUUAUUCUACCAGUCUUCCAGUAGCUUCCUUCUCUAAAAAAACAGUAUUUCAGAACAUGAGGCCUAAAAGAGUAAAUUAUGCCUCUGAUUUUUUUCAUUGGGUACAGUGGAACUUCUGUCCCUUAAACUGGCAUAAUUGUGUUGUGCAACAUGGAGACAAGAAUCAAUAAGGGCAGGCAGGGCUUGUUUCUUUUGCUCUGUAAGGACAGCCAACAACUGAUGCAAGAAACCCAUUAUUAUUUUCACAGAGAUUUUUUCUCCUGUGCUGCACAGGCACACCAGCAGCUGGUUCAGCAUCCAUCCCACCUGGAGGUGAGAGGCAACGGGGAUGCUCUAAAAUAGAUGUGGUGCUCAGGGAGAAGUGUCUACCCACUGCCAGCUGACUCCCUUUAGGAGCUGCCAACUGUCCAUCCCCAGCUGUUCAUGCUCCUUCAGCCCAAACAAGCGCAGUCUUACGAUGCUGGGGGGAGUGUAACUCCUCUGUGACAUGGUUCUCGAGAAGUCACCAGAAAUCCCUCAGAUCAACAAUUGGUAUUGCAGCCUAACCAUUUUGUCCAUGGGGGGCACGAGACAAAAGUAUGAUCACAACUGUGCAGCUGCGAGGCGUCCUGUCCUGUUCCUGUGUGGGCUGCCCACGCCAGCGGUCGCACCAAGGCAAGCAUCCCGGCUCAUCUCGGGGGGAUGCUGCCCCGGCUUCCCCCUUUUUGGUAGGUCUGAGGAGGGAUGACUGGGAGUGCUCAGUGCCAGGAAGAGGUGAUCCCUGCUGCACCAAGCAUAGCGGUCACACCUUCCUUUGCUCGUAG
ensembl:lncRNA